UGGGGAAUAUUGCACAAUGGAGGAAACUCUGAUGCAGCGACGCCGCGUGAGUGAAGAAGGUCUUCGGAUCGUAAAACUCUGUCCUUGGUGACGAAAAAAAUGACGGUAGCCAAGGAGGAAGCCCCGGCUAACUACGUGCCAGCAGCCGCGGUAAUACGUAGGGGGCGAGCGUUGUCCGGAUUUACUGGGCGUAAAGGGUGAGUAGGCGGUAAUAUGUGUCAGAUGUAAAAGGCUAUGGCUUAACCAUAGUUAGCAUUUGAAACUGUAUUACUUGAGUGCAGGAGAGGUUAGUGGAAUUCCUAGUGUAGCGGUGAAAUGCGUAGAUAUUAGGAGGAACACCAGUGGCGAAGGCGACUUACUGGACUGUAACUGACGCUGAGUCACGAAAGCGUGGGUAGCAAACA
rnacentral:rRNA from 1 species